AGCGUGUCCCCAUGUCCCCCCUGUGCACCCACACCAGGGUGCCAAUGUGUCCCCACCUUCACCCCACCCAGGGUGCCCCCAUACCCUCCUCCUCUAGCCCAAGGUGCCCCCAUGUCCCCCCCACACUUUGGGGGGGUCGCACCCCCCCAGCACGAUUCCCACCCCCUCCUUUGCAGGUGGGGAAACUGAGGCAGGGGCAGCCCACAUACAGGUCUGCAGAGGGGGUGCCCCCGCCAAGCCCAGCUCUCCCACUCCCCAAACGUGCCCUGGGCUGGCCCUGGCCCCCCCGCCAGCUCCUCACCACCCGUCCCCCCCCGCCCCGGCGUGUGCGCUCGGGGGAGCAGCGGGCGCUGAUCGGGGCUGACAGCCGCUCGCCGGGUACGUGCCGCCCUCUCCGAGGGGCCGCGGGGACGGCAGGCGGGUGACGGGCACAGACACCCCUUGCGGUGACUGGGGCGGGGGUCCCAGGGUUAGGGGGGGGGCUCAGCCCUGCUGCUGCAGCUGCCCCCCAGGGCUUGAUCCUGCCGCUCCCCGCCACACCAUGAUCAUCCGCCCCAAACGCUUGACGCCGGGGUAUUUCCGUCUGCUCCAGAUGCAGCUGGCGGCGGGGCAGGGGGCCGAGCCGGGGGGGCGGCUGCUGACCCCCCUGGCGCUGCUGCUGGCGGCCGCCGGGCUCUGCCUCUCCAUCUACAGCGCCCGCAGGAUGGCCGGCCCCGCCAAGGCCCCCCCGCAGCCCUGAUGAAGUGGCUGGAGGGCUGUGGGGACGGUCCCCAAGGGUCGCCGGGGUCCCCCCUCCACCCACUGCCACCCCUGAGCGGAGCUGCCAGACGCGGAUCCUUUCCAGCUCAUCUGCGCCACAUCCAGCCCUUCCCCUCCCUCCAUGGCAGGGGAGCACGAUGCCCCUGGGGCUGGGGGACACACGCCCUGUCCCCCCCAAAUUUUGGAAACCAGUUCAAUGACCGGGAGCUGCCGGCUGAGCUCCUGACCCCGGUACCGCGAGACACCAAGAUCCAGCCACAGGACCGCAAUGGACAGACAGAUGGAUGGUGGAGCCGGGUGCUGCGUCCAUCUCCCCAAUAAGCAGAAGGGUCUGGGGGGCCCCUUGCACCCCACUGGCGGCCACGCACCCCCCAAACCUGCAGUGACCACAGCCAGCCCAGCCCCAUGGAAAGGAGGUCAGCACCAAGCGCCGUUAGGUAACAUGGGGAGGGGGGGCGACGGGGACACGAGGCCGGUGACGUGUCCCCUGGGCACGUGCACCCCCGGGGAUGGGGUCUGCAACCCUCCCGGCCCCCUCGCACCCACCCAACCCGACAGAGCUGCCUUUAGUGAGACACUAACAGAUUUAGUCAGCUCCGUCUCCCCAGGCCGGGGGGAUGGACACAAAUCCAGGCAGGCUGUAUGGAAAUAAACCCUUUCCUGCCAAGCACA